rnacentral:rRNA from 1 species
UUAGGGGUUUCUGGUUUUUCAAGAAAUGAAUUUAAUUCAUACGUCUUAUUUAGAGUUUUAUUAUUUGUUUAUUUAUUUUUAUUUGGCGUUAAGAUUGGGAGGGAUUAGCUUCUUAUUUUAUUUUUAUAAUUUUUUGUUUUUUUAGUCUUGUGGGUUUUAUAGUGAUUUUCAAUUUGAUUAUGUUAAAAUUUUAUUUGUUUUGUUCUGUUAUUUUUGUUUAUUUAAUUAUUUAUUGAAAUGUAUUCUUUAUCUUUGGUUUAUGGUUAGUAAUUAUUGUAGAAUUAGUAAAUUUGUUGUUAGGUUGUUUUAUUUGUGUUAAUUUUCUUUGAGGAACUAGGCAAAUUUCAUGUCCGCCUGUUUAACAAAAACAUCUUUUCUCGUUAGUUUUUGAAGUAUGGCCUGCCCGCUGACUUUGGUGUUGAAGGGCCGCGGUAUUUUGCCCGUGCAAAGGUAGCAUAGUCGUUAGUUCUUUAAUUGUGAUCUGGUAUGAAUGGCUUGACGAGGCAUGGGCUGUCUUAAUUUUGAAUUGUUUAUUGAAUUUGGUCUUUGAGUUAAAAUUCUUAGAUGUUUUUAUGGGACGAGAAGACCCUAUAGAGUUUAACAUUUGUUAUGGUCCCCUUUCUGUUUGUGAGGGUUCAUUGGGCCGUUUAAUAUGUUUUGUUGGGGUGAUGGGAGGGAUUAAUUUAA